rnacentral:rRNA from 1 species
GCCCUUGCGGAGCUUACACAUGCAGUCGAGCGGUAACAGAGGUAUGCUUGCUCGACGCUGACGAGCGGCGGACGGGUGAGUAAUGCAUAGGAAACUGCCCAGUAGUGGGGGAUAGCCCGGGGAAACCCGGAUUAAUACCGCGUACGCCCUUCGGGGGAAAGCAGGGGAUCUUCGGACCUUGCGCUAUUGGAUGUGCCUAUGUCGGAUUAGCUAGUUGGUGGGGUAAAGGCCUACCAAGGCGACGAUCCGUAGCUGGUCUGAGAGGAUGAUCAGCCACAUCGGGACUGAGACACGGCCCGAACUCCUACGGGAGGCAGCAGUGGGGAAUAUUGGACAAUGGGGGCAACCCUGAUCCAGCCAUGCCGCGUGUGUGAAGAAGGCUUUCGGGUUGUAAAGCACUUUCAGUGAGGAGGAAAACUCUGCGACUAAUACUCGUAGGGCUUGACGUUACUCACAGAAGAAGCACCGGCUAACUCCGUGCCAGCAGCCGCGGUAAUACGGAGGGUGCAAGCGUUAAUCGGAAUUACUGGGCGUAAAGCGCGCGUAGGUGGUUUGAUAAGCGAGAUGUGAAAGCCCCGGGCUUAACCUGGGAACGGCAUUUCGAACUGUC